GAUGAACGCUGGCGGCGUGCUUAACACAUGCAAGUCGAACGGAAAGGCUCCUGCUUGCAGGGGUACUCGAGUGGCGAACGGGUGAGUAACACGUGGGUGAUCUGCCCUGCACUUCGGGAUAAGCCUGGGAAACUGGGUCUAAUACCGGAUAGGACGAUGGUUUGGAUGCCAUUGUGGAAAGUUUUUCGGUGUGGGAUGAGCUCGCGGCCUAUCAGCUUGUUGGUGGGGUAAUGGCCUACCAAGGCGUCGACGGGUAGCCGGCCUGAGAGGGUGUACGGCCACAUUGGGACUGAGAUACGGCCCAGACUCCUACGGGAGGCAGCAGUGGGGAAUAUUGCACAAUGGGCGCAAGCCUGAUGCAGCGACGCCGCGUGGGGGAUGACGGCCUUCGGGUUGUAAACUCCUUCCGCUAGGGACGAAGCGCAAGUGACGGUACCUGGAGAAGAAGCACCGGCUAACUACGUG
rnacentral:rRNA from 1 species